UGCCUCAUUCUCCACCCAAGUCGACCUAUCAUCCUCCUUCAGGACCUAGUUGUAGGGCGUUUCCUUUUCAAACUGACACUUGCGUCCUCGCCUGCACCCAGCUCAACACAAAGUAGCUACGUACCCUGAAGUGUGUAGGUGAGACAAACUGAGCUGCUGGAUCGGAAGGCCGAUGGCUCUUCUUCAAGCCAAUAAGGAUCUCAUUUCUAUGGGAAUGAAGGAAUUCAGUGUUCUGCUGAACCAGCAGGUUUUUAACUAUCC